CCUACGGGUGGCAGCAGUGAGGAAUAUUGGUCAAUGGAUGGAAAUCUGAACCAGCCAAGUAGCGUGCAGGAUGACGGCCCUAUGGGUUGUAAACUGCUUUUAUGUGAGAAUAAAGUUAGGUAUGUAUACUUAUUUGCAUGUAUCACAUGAAUAAGGACCGGCUAAUUCCGUGCCAGCAGCCGCGGUAAUACGGAAGGUCCAGGCGUUAUCCGGAUUUAUUGGGUUUAAAGGGUGCGUAGGCCGUUUGAUAAGCGUGCUGUGAAAUAUAGUGGCUCAACCUCUAUCGUGCAGCGCGAACUGUCGAACUUGAGUGCGUAGUAGGUAGGCGGAAUUCGUGGUGUAGCGGUGAAAUGCUUAGAUAUCACGAAGAACUCCGAUUGCGAAGGCAGCUUACCGUAACGUUACUGACGCUUAAGCACGAAGGUGCGGGUAUCGAACAGGAUUAGAUACCCCAGUAGUC
rnacentral:rRNA from 1 species